rnacentral:rRNA from 1 species
CGUCAAAGCUUAACCAUUUUUCCCUAAACAAUCCCCAUAACUUAAUUGAACCCCUCAAUAGUACUGAAUGAUUUCAUACCUUUAUGAAACCCAUUAUGUUAAAACUAGUAACAAGAAGCUUUUCUUCUCUUACUAUGUGAAUGUAAAUCAGUACAGAAUCCCUACUGAUUCAUAACAACUAUAAACAAAAGUAGCACCUUUCUUAUUCAAAACUCCUACUCAAAUCAUUUGUUAACCUCACACAAGAACAUAAAAAGAAAGAUUAUAAGAAAAAGAAGGAACUCGGCAAACUUUGAUUUCGCCUGUUUACCAAAAACAUCGCCUCCUGCUAAUACAUAGGAGGUCCAGCCUGCCCAGUGACCUAGUUUAACGGCCGCGGUAUCCUAACCGUGCGAAGGUAGCGUAAUCACCUGUUUUUUAAUUGAAGACCUGUAUGAAUGGCAUCACGAAAAUCACACUGUCUCCUUUUUCUAAUCAGUGAAACUAAUCUCCCCGUGAAAAAGCGGGGAUAAAAAUACAAGACGAGAAGACCCUUUGGAGCUUAAGACAGCGCAACAAUUUUGUUUUUUAACCUACACUAUCCUCUAAAACAUUAAUUUGCCAGUCUUUGGUUGGGGCAACCGCGGAGUAAAAAGUAACCUCCAAGUUGAAUGGAACCUUCCUAAACUAAAAGCCACAUCUUUACGUAUCAACAUAUUGACAUUCAUGACCCAAUACUUUGAUUAUCGAACCAAGUUACCCUAGGGAUAACAGCGCAAUCCACCCCAAGAGUUCGUAUCGACGGGUGGGCUUACGACCUCG